rnacentral:rRNA from 1 species
GGAGAUUGAGUUAGGUUAAGAGCUAGACUUGAGGACGUUACCCACAGAAGAAGCACCGGCUAACUCCGUGCCAGCAGCCGCGGUAAUACGGAGGGUGCGAGCGUUAAUCGGAAUUACUGGGCGUAAAGGGUGCGUAGGCGGCGUGACAAGUCACUUGUGAAAUCUCCGGGCUUAACUCGGAACUGCCAAGUGAUACUGUCGUGCUAGAGUGCAGAAGGGGCAAUCGGAAUUCUUGGUGUAGCGGUGAAAUGCGUAGAUAUCAAGAGGAACACCUGAGGCGAAGGCGGAUUGCUGGGCUGACACUGACGCUGAGGCGCGAAAGCUAGGGUAGCAAACGGGAUUAGAUACCCCGGUAGUCCUAGCCUUAAACGAUGAAUGUUUGGUGUCUGGAGUUUGAGUCUCCGGGUGCCGUCGCUAACGCUGUUAACAUUCCGCCUGGGGAGUACGCACGCAAGUGUGAAACUCAAAGGAAUUGACGGGGACCCGCACAAGCGGUGGAGCAUGUGGUUUAAUUCGACGCAACGCGAAGAACCUUACCUGGGCUCGAACGGCUGUGGACCGCCGGUGGAAACACUGGCCUUCCCGCAAGGGACUGCAGUCGAGGUGCUGCAUGGCUGUCG